rnacentral:rRNA from 1 species
UGAGUAACGCGUAUGCAACCUACCUAUCAGAGGGGAACUAACCCGGACGAAAGUCGGACUAAUACCGCAUAAAACAGGGGCACCGCAUGGUGAUAUUUGUUAAAGAAAUUCGCUGAUAGAUGGGCAUGCGUUCCAUUAGGUAGUUGGUGAGGUAACGGCUCACCAAGCCGACGAUGGAUAGGGGAACUGAGAGGUUGGUCCCCCACACUGGUACUGAGACACGGACCAGACUCCUACGGGAGGCAGCAGUGAGGAAUAUUGGUCAAUGGGCGGGAGCCUGAACCAGCCAAGUCGCGUGAAAAGGAAGAAGGAUCUAUGGUUCGUAAACUUCUUUUGCAGGGGAAUAAAGUGCAGGACGUGUCCUGUUUUGUAUGUACCCUGAGAAUAAGGAUCGGCUAACUCCGUGCCAGCCGCUGC